UAAGUCAGUAGAGGGAAGGGGGGGGAAGACGGAGGGUCCAGGAGUUAAUGGGGAUAACUGUGCUUAAAGUGGGCGGAGGCCGGCCUGCAAGUGGUGUGUGAAAUCCCCCGGCUGAACCGGGGAACAGCGGGGCAUACUGCGGGUCGUGAGGAAGGUAGUGGUUACCGGAACUGUAGGUGGAGCGGUGAAAGGCGUAGAUAUCUACAGUAACGCCGAUGGUGAAGACGGGCAACUGGGCCUUUCCUGACGAUGAGGCACGAAAGCGUGGGGAGCAAACAGGAUUAGAUACCCUAGUAGUC
rnacentral:rRNA from 1 species